rnacentral:rRNA from 1 species
CGCGGCCUAUCAGCUUGUUGGUGAGGUAGUGGCUCACCAAGGCGACGACGGGUAGCCGGCCUGAGAGGGCGACCGGCCACACUGGGACUGAGACACGGCCCAGACUCCUACGGGAGGCAGCAGUGGGGAAUAUUGCACAAUGGGCGAAAGCCUGAUGCAGCGACGCCGCGUGAGGGAUGACGGCCUUCGGGUUGUAAACCUCUUUCAGCAGGGAAGAAGCGCAAGUGACGGUACCUGCAGAAGAAGCGCCGGCUAACUACGUGCCAGCAGCCGCGGUAAUACGUAGGGCGCAAGCGUUGUCCGGAAUUAUUGGGCGUAAAGAGCUCGUAGGCGGUCUGUCGCGUCGGAUGUGAAAGCCCGGGGCUUAACCCCGGGUCUGCAUUCGAUACGGGCAGACUAGAGUGUGGUAGGGGAGAUCGGAAUUCCUGGUGUAGCGGUGAAAUGCGCAGAUAUCAGGAGGAACACCGGUGGCGAAGGCGGAUCUCUGGGCCAUUACUGACGCUGAGGAGCGAAAGCGUGGGGAGCGAACAGGAUUAGAUACCCUGGUAGUCCACGCCGUAAACGGUGGGAACUAGGUGUUGGCGACAUUCCACGUCGUCGGUGCCGCAGCUAACGCACUAAGUUCCCCGCCUGGGGAGUACGG